rnacentral:rRNA from 1 species
AUUGAACGCUGGCGGCAUGCCUAACACAUGCACGUCGAACGAGUGGCGGACGGGCGAGUAAUUUCUGGGAAACUGCCCGAUGGAGGGGGAUAACUACUGGAAACGGUAGCUAAUACUGCUUACCAUCGUCUGUGCCCUGCUGGGAUUCGCUAGUAGGUGGGUUAAUGGCUCACCUAGGCGCCGAUCCCUAGCGGGUCUGCUAGGAUGACCAGGCACACUGGAACUGAGACACGGUCAACACUCCUACGGGAGGCAGCAGUGGGGAAGAUUGCACAAUGGGCGCAAGCCUGAUGCAGCCAUGCCGCGUGUAUGAAGAAGGCCGGCGGGUUGUAAAGUACUUUCAGCGGGGAGGCGUUACCCGCAGAAGAAGCACCGGCUAACUCCGUGCCAGCCGCCGCGGUAAUAG